ensembl:lncRNA
UGGGACUCUGCUGAUAGCCAGGUGUAACAGUGGUAAGGUGUUGGGACUCUGCUGAUAUCCAGGUGUAGCAGUGGUAAGGUGCUGGGUCUCUGCUGAUAGCCAGGUGUAACAGUGGUAAGGUGCUGGGUCUCUGCUGAUAGCCAGGUGUAUCAGUGGUAAGGUGCUGGGUCUCUGCUGAUAGCCAGGUGUAACAGUGGUAAGGUGUUGGGACUCUGCUGAUAACCAGGUAUAACAGUGGUAAGGUGUUGGGACUCUGUUGAUAACCAGGUGUAACAGUGGUAAGGUGUUGGGACUCUGCUGAUAUCCAGGUGUAACAGUGGUAAGGUGUUGGGACUCUGCUGAUAACCAGGUGUAACAGUGGUAAGGUGUUGGGACUCUGCUGAUAUCCAGGUGUAACAGUGGUAAGGUGUUGGGACUCUGCUGAUAGCCAGGUGUAACAGUGGUAAGGUGUUGGGACUCUGUUGAUAACCAGGUGUAACAGUGGUAA